UACGUAGGAGGCAAACGUUAUCCGGAUUUACUGGGCGUAAAGCGCGUGUAGGUGGUUCUGUAAGUAGGGCGUGAAAGAUCCCGGCUCAACUGGGAGAUGCCGUUCUAAACUGCAGAGCUAGAGGAUGGUAGAGGGAGGUGGAAUUCCAGGUGUAGCGGUGGAAUGCGCAGAUAUCUGGAGGAACACCAGUGGCGAAGGCGGCCUCCUGGACCAUUCCUGACACUCAGACGCGAAAGCUAGGGUAGCAAACGGGAUUAGAUACCCGGUACGGU
rnacentral:rRNA from 1 species